CUUUACUUAACGGCGAAGGCCACUUUUUUUUUCCCUUUUCAAUCAAGAGAAAGCCACUCAAUAACCAAAAAAUGUUAUUCCAAACAGAUAAAAUGCGUCAAUCUACAGUUAACCGUGUGUUGCAGUAGAGCAGAAAAGGGCAUUGAGUGAAGGAGGAGAUGAUAUUACAUACACAAACUGUGAUUUCUUGCAACGAGGGAAUAAGCUUCUGCCAUGCAAAAAAUAGCUAACAAGAUGAAUCUUGGAUGUUCUUGUUCCCAAUAGAAGUAUUCAAGGAGAAGGAUGUUCUUUCUUCUUUGCCUUUGCGUACAAAGACUACUACUAAACUCUGCUAAUAACUUCUGUCGAUUAAUCACUUUGGACGAAUCAGCCAUGUUGGUUUUAAUGAGUCAGCUGAUUUGGAGGAUCUGACUGAAGGAGGUAUUGUAAAUGAGUUUGUAGGACAAUUUUGAGUUUCUGAU